UUGAACGCUGGCGGCGUGCUUAACACAUGCAAGUCGAACGCGAAAGGGACUUCGGUCCUGAGUAAAGUGGCGCACGGGUGAGUAACGCGUGGAUAAUCUGCCCUUAUGAUCGGGAUAACAGUUGGAAACGGCUGCUAAUACCGGAUACGCUCAAAAUGAACUUUUUGAGGAAAGAUGGCCUCUGCUUGCAUGCUAUCACGUAAGGAUGAGUCCGCGUCCCAUUAGCUUGUUGGCGGGUAACGGCCACCAAGGCAACGAUGGGUAGCCGAUUUGAGAGGAUGAUCGGCCACACUGGAACUGAAACACGGUCCAGACUCCUACGGGAGGCAGCAGUGGGGAAUAUUGCGCAAUGGGCGAAAGCCUGACGCAGCGACGCCGCGUGAGGGAUGAAGGUUUUCGGAUCGUAAACCUCUGUCAGAAGGGAAGAAACUACGUUGUGCUAAUCAGCAGCGUACUGACGGUACCUUCAAAGGAAGCACCGGCUAACUCCGUGCCAGCAGCCGC
rnacentral:rRNA from 1 species